rnacentral:rRNA from 1 species
GGGGAAUAUUGGACAAUGGGCGAAAGCCUGAUCCAGCCAUGCCGCGUGUGUGAAGAAGGUCUUCGGAUUGUAAAGCACUUUCAGUUGGGAGGAAGGGUUUCUGGCUAAUACCCUGUAUGGAUGACGGUACCGGAAUAAGAAGCACAGGCUAACUACGUGCCAGCAGCCGCGGUAAUACGUAGGGUGCGAGCGUUAAUCGGAAUUACUGGGCGUAAAGCGUGCGCAGGCGGUUUUGUAAGACAGGCGUGAAAUCCCCGGGCUCAACCUGGGAACUGCGCUUGUGACUGCAAGACUAGAGUACGGCAGAGGGGGGUGGAAUUCCACGUGUAGCAGUGAAAUGCGUAGAGAUGUGGAGGAACACCAAUGGCGAAGGCAGCCCCCUGGGUCGAUACUGACGCUCAUGCACGAAAGCAUGGGGAGCAAACA